AUUUCUUUAUGGCUUGGAGAACAUCCUAUUCAGAGCCCUUCAUUAAGAAGGGUGGCAUUAGUCACAGAUACCAUGUAGUAUGUUCAGAACAGAUUUGAUGGCAGUCCCACACGUAAGUUGGUGACGGUGGCAUGUGAACAGACUGAACAGGUAGCAAUUGGGUCUGCCACUGAACUUCCAUGCACUUUAGUACAAGGCUUUAUGACUGCGACAGCCUGUUGCCUGAACGGUGGGCAGAUCUCUGACUGCUGCGUGCUUAUGGGCGGGUGCGGUCUGUCAACUGUUCUCAAAAGUUGAGCAUAGUUAAAGGCCUUCGCUGCCUCCCCAGUCCUUACCACACUGGAACUAGUUCUUAGUCAUUGCAACAAAAUCUUACUGGAGUGUCCUGAAGCCACGGUCAUUGUCAGGCUUCUUGCUUGGGGAUCUGUAAAUCCCACUUUUUUUUUUUUAAGCCUAAAUCUUCAUAGUACCUCAGCACGAAACCUUUUCAUUAAUUAUAAAGGCAUUAAAUGCACUUUCUGCUUUCACAGUGCUUACCAAGCAAGUCCUUGUUCUUUGAAUGUUAAGGAAGAGCUACGUACACACUAGCCUUGCUUUGGGACCUGGGAGGAGAACCGUUUUCUAGUUGGGAAUAUAGAUCUGAUUUCCGUGUUUAGUGUGCUCACAGGUAUGUGAUUAUAUGGUCUUGUCCAUAGAACAGUGGAAAAAGAUAAACACAGACCAUGUUAUUUAGGGAAACCUUUGUCUAACAAGUUUGGCUUGGUGGGAAAUUGAUGCCCACUGUGUAGCCUACAGAAGGGGAGGAGUCAGAAUGGCUGUCCCCAUCAGCUCUGAAAUGGCAACUCUCCCUGCUCUCCCAUGCUUGCCUUCUUCCUCAGACCUCAAAGAUCAUACUGAGUGUAGCAGGUGACUUGCGUCCAUGAAGUGCUCCCCAAAGGAAGAUUUUUCUAAGAUCCACCCCACGUGGAGCAUUCUUCCUCUUUGAAAGUUGAUCUAUCUCAGAUGAUGGUUUCUGGAAUAUGCUGCCAGCAAUUUUUCUGGUACCAAUAAUGCCAAAUAUGUAAUACUGUGAGCUAACACACUUAGGAGUAGUAAGUCUAAGGUAGUGGUUCUCAACCUGUGGGUUCUGAUCCUUUUGGAUAUCCCAUGUCAGAUAUUUAUAUUGCAAUUCUUAACAGUAGCAAAAUUAAUAGUUGUGAAAUAUCAACAAAAUAAUUCUAGGUUGAGGGUCACUAUAGCAUGAGAAACUAACCGUAUUAAAGGGUCACAGGAUUAGAUUGAGAACCACUGCUUUAAAGAAAAGUACAUCAAUUUAGGGUUCUAAGAUAUAGUGUCAUGUCAUCUCUUGGUUUUUAAGACUGCAGUGUUGUGGGGAAACCAUUUUUUAUUUUAAUGUCCUGGCAAUGGCUACAUCUGGCACUUUAGGGGAAAAAGUAUAUUAAUAAUUUUCAUCUCUCUUUAGGAAUAAGACAUAGAACUAUUUUGUAUUGUGAAUUAUGGACAUUCUUUGAAGGAAAGAAAUAUUAAUUCCAGUGUUUUUCCCAAGCUCUGGAAGGGAUAAGCAAGACCCUGUGGAACACGUACAAAAAGAAACCAGACAAAUUCUAUUUUCUUACCCGAGCAAAUAUUUUAUUGAGACUGCUUAUGUAUGUCAAAGGAGCCUACAACUUCAGCUACACAGCUUUUUGUAUUGAAAGAACUCGUACUUUUGUAGCUUUUAUUCCACAUUUAAUUUAAAGUGACUUUGUAACACUAAAGUGUCUAGCAGAAGACUUUAUUCCAGAUGUUGAAGAAAAUUUUUAGUUUUUAUGAAAAUGGUUCAGUGGUUCAGCUUCUCAAAGCUGCGGUGCUCCUGGCCCUCCUGGCACCACGGGACAAAGACAACCACAUGACAACAUAUUUUUUUGGAAGCAAAACUUUAAUUUUAUAUGACAUAUACUAUGGAAAGCUAAGGAAAUUUAAGGACCAGUAGUUACCUUUUUCUUUCUUUCUUUCUUAAAAUGGGAUCCACUGUGUUGAAGACUCUUGAUAUCAUGUACUUGUCUGGCUAUUUUUUAAAACAAUUGAAGUAGAAUUGAUCAUAGUCAUCCAAUGAAUUUGUUUGAAAAAAUUAGAUUUUAUUUGUGAACUGUUUAAAAAUCAGGAUCCUGAUAAAUUUGACUAUUUUAUUCAUCACUUCAUUGUAUGUUUUGUUCUUGGUUAUAAAUCAGGAAACGUACUCCACAUGCAUUUUAUUUCCCAGCAAGCUGUAGAAUCUUUAAUUUGAUUGGAGGUUGUAUGUUAAAUCAGUUUUCUUUCACCACUUCUUGAGAAGGCGGUUCCAGUUUGAAAUUGUAUCAUUUCCUUCAAAAUGAAGGGCCGUACUUAGUUAAAUAAAAGAUUGAUCACAUCUCUUAAGCCAUUUCCUCUCCACUCUGUCUUAGUAGAAUAAAAGCUGUCAAGUCCUUUUGAAAAAUGUUAUGAGGGUUCCCAAUAAACCAUCUAUUAUUAG
rnacentral:lncRNA from 1 species